rnacentral:rRNA from 1 species
AUACGUAGGGAGUGAGCGUUGUCCGGAUUUACUGGGUGUAAAGGGUGCGUAGGCGGCUCUGCAAGUCAGGUGUGAAAACCAUCGGCUUAACUGAUGGACUGCAUUUGAAACUGUGGGGCUUGAGUGGAGUAGAGGCAGACGGAAUUCCCGGUGUAGCGGUGAAAUGCGUAGAGAUCGGGAAGAACACCAGUGGCGAAGGCGGUUUGCUGGGCUCUAACUGACGCUGAGGCACGAAAGCAUGGGUAGCAAACAGGAUUAGAUACCCUGGUAGUCCAUGCCAUAAACGAUGAUUACUAGGUGUAGGGGUUUAAAGACUUCGGUGCCGGAGUUAACGCAAUAAGUAUCCCGCCUGGGGAGUACGGCCGCAAGGCUGAA